GUGUCAGCCGCCGCGGUAAUACGGAGGGUGCGAGCGUUGUUCGGAAUUACUGGGCGUAAAGCGGGUGUAGGCGGUUUGGCAAGUCAGGUGUGAAAGCCCGGGGCUCAACCCCGGAAGUGCACUUGAUACUGCCAUUCUUGAGUACGGGAGAGGAGAGUGGAAUUCCCGGUGUAGAGGUGAAAUUCGUAGAUAUCGGGAGGAACACCCGUGGCGAAGGCGACUCUCUGGACCGAUACUGACGCUGAGACCCGAAAGCGUGGGGAGCAAACAGGAUUAGAUACCCUGGUAGUCCACGCCGUAAACGAUGAGAACUAGGUGUAGCGGGUAUUGACCCCUGCUGUGCCGAGGCUAACGCAUUAAGUUCUCCGCCUGGGGAGUACGGCCGCAAGGCUAAAACUCAAAUGAAUUGGCGGGG
rnacentral:rRNA from 1 species